GUCUACAGCCAUACCGCCCUGAACGCGCCCAGUCUGAUCUGAUCUCGGAAGCUAAGCAGGGUUGGGCCUGGUUAGUACUUGGAUGGGGGAGACGAAGUUUACC
rfam:Gorilla gorilla gorilla genomic chromosome, chr10, whole genome shotgun sequence